AGCGAACGCUGGCGGCAGGCCUAACACAUGCAAGUCGAACGAACUCUUCGGAGUUAGUGGCGGACGGGUGAGUAACACGUGGGAACGUGCCUUUAGGUUCGGAAUAACUCAGGGAAACUUGUGCUAAUACCGAAUGUGCCCUUCGGGGGAAAGAUUUAUCGCCUUUCGAGCGGCCCGCGUCUGAUUAGCUAGUUGGUGAGGUAAAGGCUCACCAAGGCGACGAUCAGUAGCUGGUCUGAGAGGAUGAUCAGCAACAUUGGGACUGAGACACGGCCCAAACUCCUACGGGAGGCAGCAGUGGGGAAUCUUGCGCAAUGGGCGAAAGCCUGACGCAGCCAUGCCGCGUGAAUGAUGAAGGUCUUAGGAUUGUAAAAUUCUUUCACCGGGGACGAUAAUGACGGUACCCGGAGAAGAAGCCCCGGCUAACUUCGUG
rnacentral:rRNA from 1 species